AAAGUGUAAGUACAGUCAAACUUAAUGGCAGAAAAACUAGAAUAGGAGUUACCAGUUCCCACAUUAUGAGGGGUGGGGUAGGUGCUACAAUUGCAAAUGAAAACAUUGAAUGAAGCUCAUAGCAGACCUUCAGAACACAGCAGCCUCCCUUGAUGUCCACUUUUACAAUGGGUCCAGAACAGUUUUGCACUGAGCCUGGAUAUAACAUGACCACCUCAUUUGAUCUGGCAACCUGAUGACCAGCCUCAUUUCCUGGAAAGCUCUGAUGUUGGUUCCAUCACGUGGCCACGGGGAAGCAGAUGCAGGGCCUGAAUGUAUUUCCCAGUCUGAGUCAUGAAAGCCCAGUUUCAGGAAAUGGAAAGUGGCUGAUAUCUCUGGCAGAAAGUCCUGUGCAUUUAGUCAAAGCUGCUCUCUCAUGACUCACCUCUUUAGACAAUAGUUCACGAUGAUGAAUACAAUCCAGUCUGGCUCUGCUAUAUGACAUUCAGGAGGACAGUGAAGAUGAGACAUGGCUCCUGAAGGUUCAGAAGGUUUAAUUUGCCUAAGAUGCACAAUGCAGGGCUUUAAACCUACACCUUUCUAAUGUCAAAAUCCUCACUUUUUCCAUAAUACCAUGAAACCAUGUGACAUAUUUGAUACCUUAUCCCCAGAA